rnacentral:sRNA from 1 species
AAUGUUUUCGCUUUUUUAAAAUAAGCAAUAUUAGGCCUACUUUUUCAUCAUUGUUAAGGGAUUAAAGCGUGUCAUGAUCCAGUCAUCAAAAUGUGUAAGUGUCAUGGGCGUUGUGUGUGCUAUGACUGAUGUUCAAACCUGGAGGUCGAAAUUUGUUUACCAAGACGUCUGUUGACUCAAGAGUGAUGACUUAUAAGAAAUGACCACUAUUUCAGCUAUGUGACUUAAGUCUCUUUAUGUCGAAAGAUUUUCAUACAGCACUGCUGCACUUUGGUGUGAUCAGAAAAAUGUUAUCAUUUGUUCUUACAUUUAUCACAAUAUUUUCAUUGGGAGCUGCUAAAU